GCAGACACAUUCCAGCCAAUCAGCAGCAGACCCUCCCUCCCAGACCCUCCCACCUCCUGGACAGCAUCCAUUGUGAAGCUGCAUUCUUAGUGAGCUGUCCAGGAGGUGGGAGGGUCUGGGAGGGAGGGUCUGCUGCUGAUUGGCUGGAAUGUGUCUG